UGACUUUUAAUAUUUUCUCUACAUUAUUGCUCUGCAGGAUAACAUUUUGGCUUCUUCCAGGAGCAUCUUUAAAUCAGAGUAAAUAAAUUGGAAAAACAAAGAAUCAGAGAUUUCCCCAAAGAAGCAAAGUUAACAAGGCUAGCAGGAGGCCAGCUAGUGUCGUGACCUUGUUAAAAAAUAUCUCCUCACCACCACCAUUAAAGUCAUCUUGGUCUAUAUAGUCACAUUCUUUUCACGUAAGAAGAAAGCUGUAGGAUUUACCACCUGCAGCAAUAAGAUAGUAGAGCCUCAGCCCUGGUUCUUCAGAAACAGUGGCACAGACCUGCUUCCAUUCUGAACACUACUACAUCCAGUAAGCGAGCCCUUAUAGAGGCAGCACACACCGCCAGAAGUGAGAGUGGCACCAGCAAGCUCCUUCCUUAGGAACUAUACUCAGCAUCUCAGCAUCAAGCUGCCAUAGCUUUGCACUGUGUCUGUGAGCCUCUGUGCUUUUUGUGCGUUUGUUACCAAGAGAUGUCCUAAAGUAUCAGAAAAACCUGAAAGCCUUUUGUGAGUCUGCAAAUGCUAAAAAAUUUCCAGUACAAUUAAUGGUAAUUGCUUUUUUGUUGUAGUUCAUUUCGGCUUACAAAAAGUUUUAUAGGAAUGCUCUACCUUCAGAUAACAGGGGAAACCAG
rnacentral:lncRNA from 12 species